rnacentral:rRNA from 1 species
AUUGAACGCUGGCGGCAGGCCUAACACAUGCAAGUCGAGCGGAGCGGCGGACGGGUGAGUAAUGCCUAGGAAUCUGCCUGGUAGUGGGGGAUAACGUCCGGAAACGGGCGCUAAUACCGCAUACUAUCAGAUGAGCCUAGGGGGGAUUAGCUAGUUGUUGGGGUAAAGGCUUACCAAGGCGACGAUCCGUAACUGGUCUGAGAGGAUGACCAGCCACCCUGGAACGGAGACACGGUCCAGACUCCGACGGGAGGCAGCAGUGGGGAAUAUUGCGCAAUGGGCUGAAGCCUGAUGCAGCCAUGCCGCGUGUAUGAAGAAGGCCUUCGGGUUGUAAAGUACUUUCAGCGGGGAGGCGUUACCCGCAGAAGAAGCACCGGCUAACUCCGUGCCAGCAGCUGCGGUAAUUC